rnacentral:rRNA from 1 species
GGCAGCAGUUUCGAAUCAUUCACAAUGGGCGAAAGCCUGAUGGUGCGACGCCGCGUGAGGGAUGAAGGUCUUCGGAUUGUAAACCUCUGUCACUGGGGAAGAAACGCUGAAUCCUAAUACGAUUCAGCCUGACUUAACCCGGAGAGGAAGCAGUGGCUAACUCUGUGCCAGCAGCCGCGGUAAUACAGAGACUGCAAGCGUUAUUCGGAUUCACUGGGCGUAAAGGGUGCGCAGGUGGCCAAGUGUGUCAGGUGUGAAAUCCCGGAGCUUAACUCCGGAACUGCGCCUGAAACUGCUUGGCUAGAGCAUUGGAGAGGGUAGUGGAAUUCACGGUGUAGCAGUGAAAUGCGUAGAUAUCGUGAGGAACACCAGAGGCGAAGGCGACUACCUGGACAAUUGCUGACACUCAGGCACGAAAGCGUGGGUAGCCAAAGGGAUUAGAUACCCC